rnacentral:rRNA from 1 species
AAAGAGGGGGACCUUCGGGCCUCUUGCCAUCAGAUGUGCCCAGAUGGGAUUAGCUAGUAGGUGGGGUAACGGCUCACCUAGGCGACGAUCCCUAGCUGGUCUGAGAGGAUGACCAGCCACACUGGAACUGAGACACGGUCCAGACUCCUACGGGAGGCAGCAGUGGGGAAUAUUGCACAAUGGGCGCAAGCCUGAUGCAGCCAUGCCGCGUGUAUGAAGAAGGCCUUCGGGUUGUAAAGUACUUUCAGCGAGGAGGAAGGUGUUGAGGUUAAUAACCUCAGCAAUUGACGUUACCCGCAGAAGAAGCACCGGCUAACUCCGUGCCAGCAGCCGCGGUAAUACGGAGGGUGCAAGCGUUAAUCGGAAUUACUGGGCGUAAAGCGCACGCAGGCGGUCUGUCAAGUCGGAUGUGAAAUCCCCGGGCUCAACCUGGGAACUGCA